rnacentral:rRNA from 1 species
CGUGCCUAAUACAUGCAAGUCGAACGCAUUGUGGUUGAAAUGAUAUGAAGAACUUGUUCAGAUUUGAUUUUCAACAUUGCAAUGAGUGGCGAACGGGUGAGUAACACGUGGGAAACCUACCUCUUAGCAGGGGAUAACAUUUAGGAAACAAAUGCUAAUACCGUAUAAUAAUUAAAACCGCAUGGUUUUAGUUUAAAAGAUGGUCUUGCUAUCACUAAGAGAUGGUCCCGCGGUGUAUUAGUUAGUUGGUGAGGUAAUGGCUCACCAAGACAAUGAUACAUAGCCGAGUUGAGAGACUGACCGGCCACAAUGGGACUGAGACACGGCCCAUACUCCUACGGGAGGCAGCAGUAGGGAAUCUUCCACAAUGGACGAAAGUCUGAUGGAGCAACGCCGCGUGUGUGAUGAAGGGUUUCGGCUCGUAAAAACACUGUUGUAAGAGAAGAAUGACAUUGAGAGUAACUGUUCAAUGUGUGACGGUAUCUUACCAGAAAGGAACGGCUAAAUACGUG